rnacentral:lncRNA from 1 species
CACUGACGACGACGAGUUUGAUGAUGAGUUCACUGACGAUGACGACGAGUUUGAUGACGACGAGUUUGGUGAUCUCCCUCCUCCGUCUAAUAAGAUGAAGCCUAACAUGAUGAUGCCUAACGCUCAGCAGAUGAUGAUGAACGCUCAGAAGAACGCUAAUCUUGGCGGUAAAGGUGGUCCCAGCGGUGGAAACGGUGGCGGCGGUGGUGGUAAAGGUGGUCCCGGAGGUGGCGGCGGUGGAAAAGGUGCUCCUGGUGGCGGUGGGAAUCAAAACCAGGGCGGAGGCAAGAACGGUGGUAAAAACGGCGGUGGUGGACAACCACAAGACGGUGGUAAAAACGGCGGUGGUCCAAACGCCGGAAAGAAGGGUAAUGGCGGCGGAGGUGGAGGUGGUGGACCCAUGGCUGGAGGACUGCCAGCUGGUUUCCGUCCCAUGGGAGGCGGAGGACCACAAAACAUGAGCAUGCCAAUGGGAGGUCCAAUGGGUAUGGGUGGUCCGAUGGGUAAUAUUCCGGCGGUUCAAGGAUUACCGGCAACCGGUCCAGGCGGUGGUGUACCACCAGGUUAUUUCCAAGGAGCCGGACCAGACCCUAUGCAAAUGCAGCAGCAACAACAACAGCAACAGUAUUUAGCAGCGGUUAUGAACCAGCAACGUGC